rnacentral:tRNA from 1 species
UCCCUGGUGGCUCAACUGGUAAAGAAUCUGCCUGCAAUGCAGGAGAUCCUGGUUUGAUUCCUGGGUUGGGAA